rnacentral:rRNA from 5 species
CUAACCUCGAAUCAAGCGUGAAUACCCGCUGAACUUAAGCAUAUCACUAAGCGGAGGAAAAG